UACGGAGGAUGCGAGCGUUAUCCGGAUUUAUUGAGUUUAAAGGGUGCGUAGGCGGGUUGUUAAGUCAGCGGUAAAAUUGCGGUGCUCAACGCCGUAGAGCCGUUGAAACUGGCGGCCUUGAGUGGGCGAGAAGUAUGCGGAAUGCGUGGUGUAGCGGUGAAAUGCAUAGAUAUCACGCAGAACCCCGAUUGCGAAGGCAGCAUACCGGCGCCCUACUGACGCUGAGGCACGAAAGUGCGGGUAUCGAACAGG
rnacentral:rRNA from 1 species